rnacentral:tRNA from 1 species
UCCCGGGUGGCUCAGAUGGUAAAGAAUCUGCCUGCAGUGUAGGAGACCCAGGUUCAAUCCCUGGGUCAGGAA